rnacentral:lncRNA from 1 species
AGAAGAAUAAUCUUACAACCAGUGCAUGAAACUGGGUCAAGGGCAUAUAAGUCAAAUGAACAUAUACUACUCCCAUUAAUUCACAUAAUCAAAUGUUGAUGACCCUACACAUACAGAAGCAGAUCCAAUCAUCAGCAGCAAGUCAAGGGAUGAAAUGACACUGUCAAAUAAUUUGGGUCAUGAAUUUUAAAGUAAAGUAGUGAUUUGGUCCAGUUGAAAAAGGUUAAAAAUGAGCACUUUGGAAACUGUCAAAAGAUUUCAACACCCCCUUAACAUAAAAUUGUCCAUAUUUUACGUUAGAGCCAAUGAAGUUUUCUAUAAUUUUGAUAUAAUUUGUCCCAAAAGUAGUACAACAUACUGUAAAAA